rnacentral:lncRNA from 1 species
UAAACACGGGUGUAUCAAGUGAUCAGCUUCCAUAAUUUUGUAUCAAUUUGAAAGCUAUCUAGCAAAGCUUAAAGUAAGUACAUAUAUACCAGUUUUACAAUACAUAUAGGCUAUACAUUAUAAGAUAACUCAUUAUUCAUAAAAGCGCAUGUAUUAAGGUCACUUUCACGAUGACACAGAAGCAAAGGUUCAAAUACUGCUAAGGGAAGAACAAAAUUUUGCGAACGAAAAUUAACAGAUCUAAGGGACGACAUCUAAAGUUCAAUGUGAGAUAAAAAAAAAAAAAAACUUAAUUCAUUUAGUUUUUUCACUGACCCCCUAAUACCCCUCUUAACUUAAUUUGGGAAAAAUUGAUUGACCAAUACGGAUAUAUAUAAUAUCGAUGUCAAUUAAACAAAACUUGCGGCAAUGUUGACCCCCCCCCUCCCCAAACUAUUUGAAUUAAGCUUUUUAUCCUUCAUUGAUUUUUUGAUGUCGUCCCUAACUUUGUUGAGCUAAAUUUGAGUCGAAUUUUAUAAAAUUUAAAUGCAUAUUAUGGUUUAAGCCUAGUAUUACAGACCUACGGGUCAUUAAAUGGAGAAAGUCUGUCAAUGUUUAGACGUAUAUUUCUAUAUGUACACACAUAUAUAUAUAUAUAUAUACAACUCGUCUAAACCUCAGCCCAACAAUGUAAGAUUUGUAAUUUGCUUUCGAAAAUUGUUUGUUCUUUCCUCGCAAGGAUUCGAUCUCAUGCUACUGAGAUAUCGUGACACACAAUCGCCUGUAUUAUAUCUGCUAGACCACUCGACCACCUUGGCUUCACAAUAAUAAAGGUUUUGGUGGCCGGGUGUUACCGUUCCUCGUCAGUUUCAAUCUAGCGUCGUAAUAUAUAUACAUGUAUAUAUAUAAAUAUAAAGUGCCUAGAAAAUCAACCUAACGAUGAUAGAGUAGAUUUGAUUCGUAUACUAUUAUAUAUAUAUAUAUUAUAAAAAAAAUAUAAAUAUAAUUUGAUGUAACGGCAUGGCUAAUUACAUUAUUAUCAUUUAAGAAAUGGCUGAUCUGAAAGGUUUACCAUCCGACUUGCCUCUCUAUACCUUUGUAAUUUGGUUUGUGAAAAUAAAUAUAUAUAUAUAUAUAUAUAUAUAUUGCCGUUAUACAUCAUGUUCUGCAAUACCGCCCUGAGCAUGCUGAGGAAAGCCAUAAUUCGACUAACAAAAUCUAUAAUAUUUUAGCCUCGUUGGUCGAGUGGCAUAGAGCAAUGGACACAGGACAGUGUUAUGUUUAUGUUCUUAGUUAGUCUAUAAUUAUUUUUGUUUAUGUCGUACGAUUGUCUCACUGGCGAAUAUUCUUUUCCUUUUUAUAAUGUAUGUUAUUAGUUGAGUAUUCCUACAAGUAAAUACCUGUAAUAAAAGAGAUAUUUAACCUCUUAAAUAUAUAUUACAAUCACUAUAUAUAAUUACUUUUGCGCCCUAUUUCACUCAAUUUAAAGAGAUAUUUAAAUCACAUUUCAAGUUAUUAUAAGAAAAUUAUAAGUGUCAAAUCACCUGAAUGACAUUAAAAUAUUUAAAAACUUGUGAAAAGAGAUAAUUUCUGUUCUGUAUCAGUAGCGAUUAAUUGUGAGUUACGAUAUACUUUCCUAUAUGGUCCACAAGUACACAGUUAUGCAUUUCUUUAAGGCAAUAAAUGAAAAUUUAAAAAAUCCCACCUGCGCUUUCUCAAUAAUAUUUUCACAGUGUGUUUUACUACUUUUUGGACAAAUUAUAUCAAAAUUAUAGAACACUUCAUCGGCUCUAACUCAAAAUAUACACAAUUUUGUGUUAAGGGGGCCUCGAAAUCUUCUGAAAGCUUCCGAAGUGGUAAUUGUUAACCCUUAUCAGCUGUACCAAAUCACAGUGACUACUUAACUUUUUUAACGCAUGACUCAAUUUUUUUAUAGUGUCACUUCACCACCCCCCCCCUACUUGCUAUUUGAGUCAUAAAACAUUGAGAAAUAAAUUUGGAAGGUAUAAAAAAAAUGCCAUGAAUAAAAGAGUCAGAUCAGCAAGUCUUGUAAAAGCAGCUUAUUUUCAUAUUUAGAAUAUGGAACACACUCUCUAAAUAUUGACUAUUUUGACAAAAAUAUCAAAAUUAGUUGAUUUAUCAUUUACAGUCGUAUAAAAUUGCACAUUACUAUCUAACCGACAUUCAAGUACAAAACUAGGACUGUUUGACCCUACCUAUAUAUCUAGCUUAGAACAGAAAUAAUCAGUUUUAAUGAUGACUAUAUUUCAUGGUCCAAAAUUUAUUUUAUCUGUUUCCGUGUCAAAUUACACACACUUUAGUCUUUAAAUAAUAAAUUUUAUAAUAAAUGAAGGAAAACUGUACUUUUUAAUGAAUAUUGAGGGGCAGAUUUUUUAUUCCCUAUAUUAGACAUUAAUUUUAAUUCCUUUCUCAUUUAUUCUUAUUACAAAAUUUCAUUUGCUUUUUCUUUCGAAUUCUUGUAGCCCCCUUUUUAAGUUAAUGGUUAAUGGAAUAAUAUUAGUAUAAUAGUCCCAGACUGGACAUGUUUUGAAGAUUGCAAUUUUUAACAUUCAUAUACAUGUAUGACCUUAGUUUUUUCAUAAAACCUAAAGUUAUAUGCUGUCAGAUGCAGAUCACUACACAUGUCAAUUUUUUUUUUAAACUAGCUACUUAAUUUACACUAUAUAUAUGAAUUCACUAGUCCAAUUUUUGAAGAAAAAAAAGUUAUGUUCUAUAUAUAUACAUACAAAAUUGUAAUUAUUUUAUAUAUAAGAUUAUUUAAAACUUACCAAAAGAUAAAAUACUAUUGAAAUUAACAUAUCUUCUGAUAGAAAUUUCACUGCUUACUUCUCAUAUCUCCUAGCUGUCAGUCCUGGCUGCCACCUCAUGUUAUGACUGUCAUGAUAAUCAGCAACAAAAAACCUAAAGAAAAUAAUUUUCUAUCAUCAGAAUCAGCACUAUAUUAACAUACAGCUAGCCAAUAAAAGAGGGGUGCUGAUUAUGUUUCCCCUCUGCACUUUUAUGUGCCUUUACCUUUAGCCUACACAUGCAUGUCUCAAAGGAAAAAAAAUAUUUUAACCUUGCACUGAAAUUUGUUUUAUUUCAGACAGAGACACCAAAAUAACAUAAAUUCAACAAAAACACAAAAAUUAAAAAUAUAUAAUUAUUUAAUAUAUGGUAAGUGUUAUAUAACAGUAUUAUAUAUGCCUGGUUUUCUGUAAAUUAGCCAUCUGUCAACAGUGGAUGAUCAAUGGAACCAAUAAAUUGAAUGUACAUUACAUUGUAAAGAAAAUGGGUGAUUAUACAUGUAUAUUUUUGUAAAUAUAUACAUAAUUAUGAUUCUGGCAUUUGAUCAUUCCUAUCAGUAUUUACAGCCUAUUAUCUAUCUAUGUCUAUCUUCCCGUCAAUCAGUCCUGGCACCUCAUGUUAUGACAUUGGUUUAGAAAUAAGACAGACAAAAAUAUAUAAUUAGGUUUUAAAACCUGUGAGGUAUAUUUUUGUCUUUCCUUAACAUACAUGUACAAUUGAAUAAUGACACCAUAAUUUCAUAGGCAACCUUUGCUUGCUUUCUCACUUGAUUCUUAGCCAUGCAAAUCCUUGAUCAUGCUAAAGAGCUAAAUUGCUAAUGCAGUGGGGUUUUUUUGUGGGGGGAUGAUGGGGUACCAUUGCUAUAUCCAGCAAACACUAUUUCCUGUCCAUACGAAUAAAGUUAUGUAUGCCACAGUGAUAGUAUGGUACCACAGCUAGAAGUAUGAUACUUUUUUUGAAGUACCCUCCCCCUUUUUUUUAAUUUCUGGUAUUUCUGUUUCAAGAAACGGCAAUUUUGUAUAUACAGUGGAGAUCACUUCUAACCUCUCAUUAGAACUGUCAGAAUAUUCUGUAAUAGAACUGUUCUAACCUGUCUAGAACAGUUCUACCUAGAACAGUUCUACCCUAGAACUGUUCCAAAUAGAACUGUCAGAAUCAGUUCUAGGUAGAACUAUCAGGAUCAGUUCUAGGGUAGAACUGUCUAAAUCAGUUCUAGGUAGAACUGUCCAAAUCACUUCUAACCGUAGAACUGUCAGCAGAACUGACUAAAUCAGUCAGGACUGUAGAACAGUUCUAAAUGACGUCACUGCAGUAAGGGCACUUUAGAAUUUAAAAGAAAUAAAUCACUUCCAAUUACUUUGCUAUAUAUAAUAGCAGAUUUUCUAUAUUUUUUACUGAUCAAACGUUCCAUGUACAAAUAUCGAAGUGAAUAGAAGGUUAUCCAACUCAUCGGAGAAAUAUUUUUAUAAGAUUGCAUACGGAAACAUCAUUGUUUACGUUUCUUCGUUCCCCGUUUUUAACAGUCUCUUCCUAAAUAUAACUCUACAUUUAAUUCAUGGAAUUUUAAUCGUAAUUUACCUUGUUUGCCUUGGAUUUACAUUCAUUUAAGAUUCUGUAUUGACAAAUGUUCAAACGAAAAUUGUACAGUGGAUGAAUUAUGGGAUAUUAAUGAAAAAAGUGUUGUAUAACUUAAAAAAACUAUAUACAUUUGCACCAUCUCGUCAAUUUAGCCAGACUUAUCCAUAACGAUUAUAAAUGAUAUCUGGGAGUCUGGAACUCAGAAAAAUAUACUCGAUCUGAACAUGAAUGAAACAUUUGCCCCUGGACGUUCGGCUACAAACAAAGUCAUGCAUUUUUCUUUGCCUUCUUCAAAUUAUAUUAACAGUAUACUAUUCCAAGAAGAGAACUUCCCAUACAUGUACUUUUUAUUUUUGAAAUAAAGUAUAUGAAUCAGUCAUGUGAGUGUUGGAUGAUGUCGUUUAAUAGUUUUGUUAAAAAAAACACAUCACAAACUACUGACUUAAACAUGUUGUAAAGUCACUUUACACCUUAUCGCUAUUUGUCCGCAUUACUGGAUAUCACACAGGUUCCCGUAAAUUUUUGACGUCACAAAACCAAAUAUCUGAUGCCAUAAUGGAAAAAUGAUUGUUGUAUGCAUCAAAAGUUCAAGCGGCCGGGUCAGCCUGGGAUUAACGAUAAGGUGUAUUAUUAUGGGUACAGAGAGGAAAUAAAGGCGCGCUAAAUUCUUAGAUAUGGUAUAAAUACACCUUGACGCUAUUUGUCUGCCAUUACUGGAUAUCACACAGGUUCCCGUAAAAUUUUGACGUCAUAAAACAAAAUAUCUGACGCCACAAUGGAAAAGUGACUGUUGUAUGCUUCAAAAGUUCAGGAGGCCGGGUCAGCCAGGAUUAGCGAUAAGGUGUAUUGUGUUUCAAAGUUGGUGUCAUUUUUAUCAUACGAUCCGUCCUCACAUAGAAAUAUUAUUGGUUUACAAUGAGGCCAUAUAUAUUUACAUGAUCAAGUAAAAGUGUAAAUAAGUUCAGUUUUGGUUGAUGCGGUCAAAUAAUUUUGUUGAAACGACUCAGUCUGAUAUAUCGAAACUACUGAAAUUUGUUUACAAUUCAAUAUUUUAAAUAAAAAGAGGACUUGGUGAUACUCUAAAUUGAUGUGGAAAUUUUUUUGUAGCCAAUGUGUUCCAAUAUUCAUUGAUAUUGCUGUCAUUUGAAUUAUACAAUCCAUCGUAAUGUAUUACUAUAAGUGAUUAAGUAUUCGGCUAUAUAUAUAUCAAGAUUUACAUAACAAAGUGUAAAUAUGGUUAGUUUUGGUUGAUGCUAUCACAUAUGGUCAGUUUUGGUUGAUGCUGUCAAAUGUGGUCAGUUUUUGGUUGAUGCGGACGAAUAAUUUUGUUAUAUUCAUGAGUCAGUCUGAGAUAUCAAAACUACUGAAAUUAGUUUACGAUUCAAAAUUUUGAUUAAAAAGAGGACAUACUGGCACUAUAAACUGAUGUGAGCAUAAUUUUGUUUUCCAAUAUUGCUUUCAUUUAUAUUAAACAAUCCACCUGAUAUAAAAAUAUAAGUGAUUUACUUUGCGGCUAUUAAGAUUGACAUGAUGUACAUAAUAAAGUGCAAAUAUGGUCAGUUUUGGUUGAUGCGGGCAAAUUAUUUUGUUAUACCAGUCAGUCUGAGGUAUGAAAACUACUGAUAUUUGUUUAUGAUGCAAUAUUUUGAAUAACAAGAGGUCUUGCUGGCAUUCUAAAUUGAUGCAAAUGAAAUUAGGUAGCAUUGUGUUCCAAUAUUUCUAUCAUUUGUAUUUUCAUGAUUUUACAAUCCAUCCUUACAUAAAAAUAUUACAGAUUUACUACAUGUACUAUGCGACUAUAAGAGUUACAUAAAAAAGAGCAAAUAUGGUCAGUUUUGGUUGAUGUGGUCAAAUAUGGUCAGUUUUGGUUGAUGCUGUCAAAUAUGGUCAGUUUUGAUUGAUGCAGAUAAAUAAUUUUGUUACAUGAGUCAGUCUGAGGUAUGAAAACUACUGAUAUUUGUUUCUGAUGCGAUAUUUUGAAUAAAAAUAGGAAAUGCUGGUACUCUCAAUUGAUGCGAGAAAAAAAAAUUGUGGUCAUUUAUUUCCAAUAUUGUAGUUAUUUAUAUACUACAGUCCCUGUUGACCUAAAAUUAUAACUGAAUUACUGUGCAGCUAUUUUAUAGAUUUACAUAAAAAAAGCAAAUAUGGAAAGUUUUGGUUGAUGCGGUCAAAAGAUUUUAUUACACGACUCAGUCUGAAGUAUGAAAACUACUGAUAUUUGUUUAUGAUUCAAUAUUUUGAAUAAAAAGAGGACAUGCUUAUUGGCGGAUCAAGGGGGAGGGGGUCCAGGAGUUGGAGCCCCCUUUUUUUUUACGAUCAAUGCAUUUGAAUGGGAGCAUAUAGUUGAAACUCCCACCCCCUUUUUAUAAUGGCUGGAUCUGCCCCUGCUUGCUGGCACUAUAAAUUGAUGCGAACAAAAUUGUUUUCCAAUAUUGCUGUAACUUGUAUAGUACAGUCCCUCUUGACCUAAAAUUAAAACUGAAGUACUGUGCUGCUAUAUAGAUUUGCAGAAAGAAAGAGCAAAUAAUAUCAAUUAAGAUUGAUGUGGUCAAAAGAUUUUUGUUAAUCAGGUCCGUCCGAGGUAUGAAAACUACUCGUAAACAGAAAUUACAUUUGGUUAAUUAGGUCAGAUAAUUUUGUUAUGUGAUAACGAGCCAUCCUGACUCCCGGAAUAACAAAAAUUUAAUGUAAAACAAUAUAAAUAAUACCCCCCCCCCCCCCAUAAUACUAACGGCCUAAUUUAUGAUCACUGAAUUACGGGCUCCUGACUUGGAACAGGCACAUACAUGCAGAAUAUGGCGGGGUUAAACAUGUUCUCUUGCCGAUUAUAAAUCUGAAAUAAAACCGGCAAAAUAGUAAAACUCUAUAUAAUAGUAAUCGCUAUUUUGCCGAAGCCUUUAUAUUUAGACAAAGAUUUCUUAAAAGUUAUAAAUCAAUUCUAGCCGUAGAAUUUAUAAAUCAAUUCUAGCCGUAGAAUUUGAUAUCAAUUCUAACGUAGAACUGUUCUAGAAGUAGAACUGACUAAAACUGUUCUAGGGUAGAACUGUCAGGAUCAGUUCUAGCUAGAACUGUCUAAAUCAGUUCUAGGUAGAACUGACCAAAUCAGUUCUAGCUAGAACAGUUCUAACCUAGAACGGACUAAAAGGUGUCAGGCUGACAGUUCUACAUACUGUUCUAGAACAGUUCUCCUGACAGAAUUUAUGAAAGGUUAGAACUGAUCUCCACUGUAGUCCACCGGCGAUCAGACCUUACAUCUAUGCAAUUGAUUUCUUUAAUAUACAAUGAUUUAAAACAGUUGUUUCGUUUAAUAUAAGUAAAAGUCAUACCUGCAUGUUUGUACGCUGGCGGCCGUCAACUUGGAAAACGUAAACAAAGUAGUUCGCAUGUACGCACUUUCAACAGAAUGGUCAAACGGCUACAAAUUGUCUUCGGUUUUAAAAUGAACCAGUAAAGUUAAUACAAAAACAUGUUUGAAAUAGAUGUUUAUGCAAUUAACGAAAAAAUGUAUGCAUGCGCUGCGGAUGUCUACGUUCUGCAAGAUCUUUCACAUGUGAGUACGGCUGAAGGCAAGGAUGUUAAACGUAGGACUUCGGGAAUGUUCGGAGAGCCGACAACCUUGCUUCGGAAUUUGGAAGAACACCUUGACCAGUUUGAAAACGGAUGUUGACAACUUGUGUGUAUUACUCAGGCGCUUCCGGUUGUCCUACUGUAUGCUAGGAAAUACUGCAACUGGACGUCAUAGAUCAAACGUUAGCGUCAUUCGAUUCAUGACGUAACGCCAGGUAUGCGAUACGGGUUUUGCCAUGCGAUACAGGGAAGGCGAUACAGACUUAAAAAAAGAACCUUUAUCAGAUAUACAAAAUUACUGUAUUUUGUACUAAAUAUAUGAUAAAUCUAAAAAAAAAAAAAACAGGAUACGGACCUUUCACUGUUUAAUUUCCUUUAUGUGUAAACUAUCAAUUUAUAAACGUCUAUAUCAACUAUAAAUCUUUUACAAAACCUCAGUUUCUAAAUUGUAUUGCCAGACUAUUUGCUUGGUAUUAAAUGAAGAUUCAAGUAGGUAUAAAGUUUAACAAUUUAAUAAACGAUCCAACAAGAAUAUAAAAGAUGUUACAAUAUUGAGUCCGGUGUUAACGGUUAAAGAACCUUUCCAAAACUAAACAUAAAUUAUUUUUAAGAAGUGUAUAUAAAACAGAAUAAUAAAGAAAUACAUGUAACUACGGAUUAAGCAAAAUUAUUAUUGUCCAUUGUUAUUAUCUGAUAACAACUGUCUUUGUCACGUAGAUACGAAGUCCAUUAUCGGAUUAGUAGAAACAUACAUCUUUAACCAAAAGAUAAUUGUGUGGGAAUAUUUGACCUAAUAAUGGCAAUUAAAAGAUAUAAUAGUUAAAGUCAGAAAGAUCAUAGUCCAAAUAAUUCACAUGCUUUUCAUCCGGUCAUACAAUGUAGUUAUAUCGAAAGCUACAUAACAUAGACACGAAACUUUAUUUUCUACUUUCUGUAAGUUGUGUUUUUAUAUUUUGUAUAUAGAUUGCAUAUUACCAAAAAAAAAAAAAAUUGAGGAACAAAUCAUGGUAACAAAUGAUAAACAAAUCGUAUGAUUUCUUUGUGAUUUGAAAGUGAUAAAAUUUCACAUGCAAAUGAGCUAACAAAUCACAUAAAAACAGAAACAAAUUGCUUACAAAUCAUACAAUUUAAAGACAUCACAAAGAAAUCAGUUUAAGGGAAUUUGGAAAAUUCUGAUUUGUUUAUAAUUUGUUUAAUGAAUCGCAAGCAAAUGGUACUAACAAAUCGCAGAAUCACGAUUUGAUAGAGAUUGGAAUACGAAUUGACAGCAAUUUGUUCAUUUAUUUUAAUUUCUGUUUGGGUAGUUCAUAAAUUAGGGUUUGGAAAGCGACUUUUCCGCAGGAUUUCACUUUGUUUACAAAAUUGUUUGAGCAUUUUGAAUUGACUUUUGAACUUAUAUUUCAAUUAAAUUUAGUUAAUUUUAUUGUAUUACACACAUAAUAUAGUUUGUGAUUAUGUCAGUUUAUGGGGAACCACUAGUGGAAAGUUAAUGAUAAUUUGUAUGCAGUUGCAUAAACAUUGGCAUAUCUCAUUUCCAUUGAGAUUAUUUGGCCCCUACCCCUCAGUCAUGGUUAGAUUUUAUUGACUUCGAAAUUUUUUGUUUAGUUUUCAUGUAUUAGUGUGUGAUUAGGUCAAUUUAUGGGGAACUACUAGUGGUAAGUUAAUGAUAAUUGAUAUCGCAUUUUUUAUAUAACACAAUAUUUUGAGAUCUCGCCACACAGGUCGACAUAAAAUAUAUCGAUAAGUAUGAUAUAACGCAACAAGUCAAUAGCAACAACAACUAAAACAGAUACCUAUACGUAAAGGUAAAUACAGAAAAGUGACUUCAAAAUUGUUAUUUUCGUGUUUAAUUAAACAAAUUUAAGUGACCAUGCACCAUUAAUAUUUUCAGAUAAAGAAAAUGGCACGUGAAGCAUGCAAUAGUCAGUUUAAAAACUUGGCCAAAGUCUAUGAACAAGAUGUGACCGAAAGUAUAAAGAAAUACCAAGUACUGAAAGAUUUAGAUUUGUUUGUCCUAGACAACUCAAUAAGAGAGAGCACAGUAGGCCAGCUUAGAGGUCACACCAUUGAAAACAAGUGGAAAGUUUAUGACGAAGUUAAAAAAUGUGGAUUUAAGCAUACAAUAGUUGCCUCCUUCAACCACAGCACUCGUGUAGAUGAUGUCUUUAUCAAACAACUCAUUGACAAAGGGGAGGAUCGUGCAGGCCUUUGGGCUUUCUCAGAAAUAACUGAAGGUCAGUUACUUGUAAAGUCGUUGUCAGUUACUUAUAAAGUCAUUGUCAGUUACUUAUAAAGUCAUUGUCAGUUACUUAUAAAGUCAUUGUUCUUAAUAUGUAUUAAAAAAAAUCAAAGUUUAACAAACAUCAUGCAAUCCAUGUGUAAUAAGAAAAGAGAUAUCACGUAGCAAUAAAAAAAACAUAAGUCAAUGGAGAAAAAAGACGGACAGAGAGACCAUGCUAAGAAAUAUUUAUUACCAGAAAAAAUUAAAGAUUGAGCAACAUACACAUCACAAAAUACGAGAUGAACUCAGUGCCACAGAAAGAUCAGCAGCUUUUUCUAUACGUCUUGUAAACUCCAACUUACUCUUUUUUUGUAAACAUUUUUUUAAAUUGUUCUUGAGCAGGAUUAAAAAAGUAAACAUCCGUUAUAUAUUUAUCCCCGUCACUUUACUCAAAAGUCAGCUCAAGCAACAAGAUCUAAAUUAGGAACAUGCUGAUUCAAUUAUAACAUCUUUAUAACUAUUUUGGCUUUAUAACUAUUAUUAUUUGAGCGUCACUGAUGAUUCUCAUGUAGACGAAACGCGCGUCUGGCGUAUAAAAUUAUAAUCCUGGUACCUUUGAUAACUAUAAAACGUUAUAUGCCUUUUUCAGCAAUAAAGAAGAAAGUUCCUGACACUGAAAGCAUACCUGUAGGAUUAAGGAAAAUGAAAGAAGCUGGUCUGUAUAACGUUAUCUUUGAAAUCGAUCUUGGUGACUCUACAUACGAUUUUGACAGAUUCACAACAAAAGAGAUGUG